GUUUGGCUUUGCGCAUGCCACCUUUUAAAACAAAACACGUCAUCCUCAGAUCUGAAAAAGAUUGAAUGCUACGAAGAAUUAAAUUUUUUUUUAAUUUGAACAGUCUGUGGCUACGUGUUCACAAACUAUUCAGUUCUAUACGAAUUGGAUUCAACUGCUAACCAAAAAACUGAUAAAAUAAAAUAUUAGCUCAACGUAAUGAGUAACAAAGCAACUCAAGAAAUUAACACCCUAAGCCCCCAAAAUAUAGAAGCACUAAAAAAUGAAUGGGCUCAAAAUGCCUACGCGGAGCAAUUAAACAAUAGUCUAAAAAGAUUCGUCGAUUUUUUGAACAAGUUUGAAAUAUGCAUCAAUUACCAACUUGCUGAAUUAAAUGAAAAACUGAGAAAACUUGAAAAGCAAGUUGAAAACAUUGAAAUACAAACGUCGGAUCUUCAUGCUACCUAUAGCGAAGAAUAAAUCCCAUAUGUAUAUGUGUUUUAAGGUGAGGAUAGAUUUACACAAAGCCAGUUAUACCAGGAAUAUGACUUUUCAAAUAGAUUGACAAAAAAUGCUCAAUACAUGGUUAGAACAUCAAUAAAAUAUUUAGUCAUGUUAUAGCAUAUAGUUUCUCUACUUUCAAUGCUACAGGAUGCUUCUUCUUUGCAUUCUAAAAAUUAGAUGCGAAGAUUCACAUGCUAUUAUACUGGGAUGAAAAAUUUAUUUAGUCGGUUAGAGGAGUAUCCCAUAUGCUGCUCUUUAUACUUUACCAAAUUCAUAUAAGAGUAUGCAGACUACAUUGCGAACCUGUAUAUCAGUUGUAUUGUACAACAUUAAUAAAAGAUUUUUGAAUGACUCGGUAAAAAUUU